rnacentral:rRNA from 1 species
GGGUUGUGAGGUUAAGCGAAUGAAGCGUACACGGUGGAUGCCUAGGCAGUCAGAGGCGAUGAAGGACGUGCUAAUCUGCGAAAAGCGUCGGUAAGCUGAUAUGAAGCGUACUAGCCGGCGAUGUCCGAAUGGGGAAACCCAGUGCAUUAAUGCACUAUCGUUUGAUGAAUUCAUAAUCAAACGAGGCGAACCGGGGGAAUUAAAACAUUUCAGUACCCCGAGGAAAAGAAAUCAAUCGAGAUUCCCCCAGUAGCGGCGAGCGAACGGGGAGCAGCCCAGAGUCAACAUCAAUAUUUACCGCAGGAGAAGGGUCUGGAAAGGCCGGCAAUAAAGGGUGAUAGCCCCGUAUCUGAAACGGUAAGUGUUGUGAACUCGAAGAGUAGGGCGGGACACGUGUUAUCCUGUCUGAAUAUGGGGGGACCAUCCUCCAAGGCUAAAUACUCCUGACUGACCGAUAGUGAACCAGUACCGUGAGGGAAAGGCGAAAAGAACCCCGGCGAGGGGAGUGAAAUAGAACCUAAAACCGUGUACGUACAAGCAGUGGGAGCACCCAAAAGGGUGUGACUGCGUACCUUUUGUAUAAUGGGUCAGCGACUUAUAUUCUGUAGCAAGGUUAACCGGAUAGGGGAGCCGUAGGGAAACCGAGUCUUAACUGGGCGUUAAGUUGCAGGGUAUAGACCCGAAACCCGGUGAUCUAGCCAUGAGCAGGUUGAAGGUUGGGUAACACUAACUGGAGGACCGGA